GACGAACGCUGGCGGCGUGCUUAACACAUGCAAGUCGAACGGUAAGGCCCUUCGGGGUACACGAGUGGCGAACGGGUGAGUAACACGUGGGUGAUCUGCCCUGCACUUCGGGAUAAGCCUGGGAAACUGGGUCUAAUACCGGAUAGGACCCUGGGAUGCAUGUCCUGGGGUGGAAAGCUUUUGCGGUGUGGGAUGGGCCCGCGGCCUAUCAGCUUGUUGGUGGGGUGAUGGCCUACCAAGGCGACGACGGGUAGCCGGCCUGAGAGGGUGACCGGCCACACUGGGACUGAGGUACGGCCCAGACUCCGACGGGAGGCAGCAGUGGGGAAUAUUGCACAAUGGGCGCAAGCCUGAUGCAGCGACGCCGCGUGAGGGAUGACGGCCUUCGGGUUGUAAACCUCUUUCAGCACCGACGAAGCGCAAGUGACGGUAGGUGCAGAAGAAGGACCGGCCAACUACGUGCCAGCCGCCGCGGUAA
rnacentral:rRNA from 1 species